UACGUAGGCAGCAAGCGUUGUUCGGAUUCACUGGGCGUAAAGGGUGCGUAGGCGGUCGGGUAAGUCUGUCGUGAAAUCUCCGAGCCCAACUCGGAAACUGCGUCGGAUACUAUUCGGCUAGAGGAAUGGAGGGGAGACUGGAAUUCUCGGUGUAGCAGUGAAAUGCGUAGAUAUCGAGAGGAACACCAGUGGCGAAGGCGAGUCUCUGGACAUUUCCUGACGCUGAGGCACGAAAGCCAGGGGAGCAAACGGG
rnacentral:rRNA from 1 species